rnacentral:rRNA from 1 species
ACUCAAAUGAAUUGACGGGGGCCCGCACAAGCGGUGGAGUAUGUGGUUUAAUUCGAUGCAACGCGAAGAACCUUACCUACUCUUGACAUGGUGGGAAUCUUACAGAGAUGUAGGAGUGCCGAAAGGAACCCACACACAGGUGCUGCAUGGCUGUCGUCAGCUCGUGUCGUGAGAUGUUGGGUUAAGUCCCGCAACGAGCGCAACCCUUGCCCUUAGUUACCAUCAUUAAGUUGGGGACUCUAGGGGGACUGCUGAUCUAUGAUCGGAGGAAGGGGGGGAUGACGUCAAGUCAUCAUGGCCCUUACGAGUAGGGCUACACACGUACUACAAUGGUUGUUACAGAGGGAAGCGAAGCUGCGAGGUGGAGCGAAUCCCAGAAAAGCAAUCGUAGUCCGGAUUGCAGUCUGCAACUCGACUGCAUGAAGCCGGAAUCGCUAGUAAUCGCGGAUCAGAAUGCCGCGGUGAAUACGUUCCCGGGCCUUGCACACACCGCCCGU